rnacentral:lncRNA from 1 species
CUGUUUUCAAAGUUUGAUCAUAUGUGGAAUAAUGCCCGUCAUUGUCACAUCUCCUACUAGAACAGCGGCCUGCUAAAUUUAAACGCCAGAGAGAACAGAGAACAACCAAAUGCACAUUCUUGCCCUUCCCUCACUCCUCUUCCUCCAGCUGCAGAUUUUCUGAACAUAGGAGCUGUGGGUCAUAAAAUACCAUCUGCUGGGAAAAAGAAACAGCCUACGUAAUUUCUGAGAAGAUGGCUCAGCUAUACUGCCAGUACUGCAACUGUCUUACACUGUAUAACGUUUUGCAAUUAAGAGUAUGUGCUUGAAAAGGCAGUAUGGCCUUCUGGUGGCUCUUCCAC